rnacentral:lncRNA from 1 species
CUUACACCUACAUUUAACACAUUAUAAUAAUUUAGAGAUACUGCUGUAUCAAAAAUACUUUUUAAUAAAACAACAUAAAAAAUUUACUAAUUACCUCAUAUUCUUUUGUAACAAAAAAACCCACAAACUAAAUAUUUCCUUUGUGUACAAUCUUGAAUAAAUGUAAUUGGACUUUUAUUGUACCAUCUCAUCUUUCUAAAACAUUCAACUUAUAAGUUUAAGAAGGUUACUAUUGAACACUGAUGAAUAUUCACUGAACUAGUGAAAUAUAUAAAGUUGAUUAAAAUAGAAAAGCAAUAACUAGCUCUUUUAAAACUAGCAUCUGGAAGCUGUAUAGAUGCAGAGUAUGGGGAUACUGGGGAUGCCAUUUACUAAAUUAUACUGACUUCAAUUUUCUGUUAUAAAGAAGAGUGACUGAAACAGCUUGACCCGCUACAUUGAAUCCUCAUCGUUACUAGAAAAAAAAAAAUUUUCAUAGACACAAUUCUUCUCUGGAUUACAAGGGAUUUUUAAAUAUUUGAAUAGAUCCCACUGUGUCUAUGUUUUUUUGUUCAUAUUACAGUACAUAAUAUAAAUUAUGUAUAUAUUUAACAGUGAUAUUUUAUAUUAAUUUGUCAUUGAGUAUCAUAAAGUUUGAGUAUCAAUGCAAUGUUGACGUAAUAUAGAGAUUGGUAUACAUUUAAAUAUUCAUGUUUUUGACUACCUACUCAGCAAGUCUUCUUGGAUUGCUUUACUGUUUGAAGCAUGGUAUAUGGAACAAUUGAUUUUUUUAUAUUUCUUUCAGCAAAAAGUUAAUUUUCUUCAUGUUACUAUUUUUUUUACCACAUAUAUAGCUGGUCUUUAUAGACUAUAAUUAAUCUUGUUUAUAGUCUACACAUAGUAAAAGUGCAAAAUCACAAGCAACCAAUAAAAUAAUCAUUAGUUAAUUGAUUUAAUUAACUCUAAUUAAAUUAUGGCUUAAUAUACGAUAAAUGAAUUGGGACUCACCAUCUAUCGGAACCACAUCUAGUUCAAUAAAAAUAUUGUUUAUAGUCUAUAAGACCAGCUUUAUAUGUGGUUCUGAUGGAUGGUGAGUAUCAAAUAAUUUCUUGCUUAUCAAUCAAGAAUUGUAUUAGAGUGAAUUAAUUAACUAUUGAUUAUUUAAUUGGUUGAUUGUGAUUUUGCACUUUCACUAUGUUUUUUCUCAUAAAUGUUUGUAAGUUCUGGUGUUAAGUAGCUUGACAAACAUACUAUUGGGAGUCAAAAUGUUGCAGUAUUCCACAUGUUCCAAUAAAGGUGCCUGAAGACAUUAGAGUGCCUGGACUCUUUUUCUAAUAAUGCUAUUUAUACUGUUUAAGUAUAUGUGCAUGUAUAAAAACUAUUGCUCAAUCCAUUUUUGACAUUUAUUGUAUCAUUAAUUCCUCAAUUGAUAGUAGAGAAUGUUUGCUAUUCUGUAAUAGGAGAGAAAAACUACCAAUGUAAUUAUUUUUCUCUUUUUGAUCUUAAAAUCCUACAUAACUCUAAUAAUGAUUAUUCAUGGAAACAUAUAAUACAUAUAAUCGCACUUCUUAAAAGACUAGUGUGAUAAAUCCAGAUGAAAGCAUGAUGUAGCAUGUGUCAUUUAAAGGGACACUAUAGUCACCAGAACAACUACAGCUUAUUUUAGUUGUUCUAGUGUCUAUUUAGUUGUUCUAGUGUCUAUAGCCUGUAACUGCUGGCUUUUUUUCCUACAAAUACUAUAGGGAUUAUAGAUUUCUUUGACUGUUUUUUUUUUUGUUACUAUUAAUUAAUUUAACUAGUCAAGAGAAUAACUAAAACAGUUUUUCAAGAGUAGAACCCAAAUGUUAAAAACACCUCAGAUAUCAACUCUCAAAAACACAUGAGGUUACCCAGAUGAAGAGUUAACAACUCAGUUUAAAUGGUAAAAUUACAAGUACUUAAAUAUUUAUUAGGUAUAUUCACCUCUGGUGCGAGUGCUCAACUCAACCUACUGGCCACUAUGUUCCCUGUCUCCACUCCGACAGGCCUGGAUAAAUACCGCUAUCACCAAAUCAGAACUUACUAUACAACGAGCCCUGACAAACGUCUCCUACACAGGUAUCUCACCCACUUCGAGUCGCUUUGCACAUUCCGCCAGCAUGCGACUAAAGACAUCUCUAUGCUAUAUAUCAUGCUCCUAGGGGAGGACAAGCGUCCACUCUAACGGUCCAUCGCAAAGUGGGAAAACGUGAUGGGAGAGACUCUAACUGAACAAGACUGGGAUAAAAUCUACAUGCUAACACACAAAUGCUCAAUCAGUUCAAAAUACCAAGAAACAAGCUAUAAGCUACUAUCUUACUGGUACAGAAUACCUGACUUACUGCACCGCAUAAACACAGAUACCCCAGAUAACUGCUAGAGGUACAGAGCGGAGGGCGGAACCAUGUUCCACAUAUGGUGGAUGUGCCCGGCUAUCACCUCCUUUUGGACAAUGGUGAACGCAAAGAUCAGAUAAAUCACAGACUCUGACCUACCUCUCCAACCUCUACCAACGCUCCUACACCACACAGAUAUGACCCUUAAGGCAUAUAAGAAGUCUCUGACUAAACACCUGCUUAUGGCAGCACAAUCCAUCAUACCCACGCUCUGGAAGCAAUGGGUGGACAGGGUGCAUGAGCUAUACUUUAUAGAAUCACUGACCACAGCCCUACAUGGCCGCUUGGAUGCCUACACUGGAACCUAGACCCCAUGGUUGAUGUACACGGCCAGCAAUAGAUCAGGCACUUUUUUUACCUUCCUCUCCUCUUUCUCUCACAUGUGAACAAACCCCGGGUUUCUGUUCUUCUCCCCUUCUCUCGCCUCUGAUGAGUCCCCCCCUCAGCCUGCCCAUGACAGGCGACCGACCUCAAACUCACCCCUCCCUCUGACCAACGAGCACAGAGAUAGAUGAGGUUAGGCAGUUACCACUCGACUGUCCCCAACAUCCCAUGACAACUCACGAUGAUGCCUCACUGACUUUAAAACCAACGGCCUCUAUGUAUAGACAUGUUAACCUAUUGUAACUCUAGUGGAGGCAUUGAUCGCCCACUGUCUCUUGAUUAUCAAAUCUCUGGUUCCAUAUGUAGUUAUUCACUACCUACACUUCUCCUUAGCACAUGAAGCUGAUGCCUGUUGACUAAUAGCAUUCCUACUUCGGGCAUGAGUCAUUUUCACUAAAGGUCACAUGUCAGCCAUCCUCUAUGUUUACAUUCUUGUUAUAUGUUCAACGCUAUACUGUGAAACUUUGUUUUAUCAAACAAAAUAAACAGAAAUAAAUAUUGUCAAAAAUAAAUGUUGGUUGAGCGAACAACUGUAGUUUCUCUGUUGACAGAUCUAGCAAAAGACUUUAACUCAUAAAACUAUAGUUCCAACUUGAACUCAUUCAUUUUUAC